UGAAAUGAAUGCCAUCUGUGUUGGAGCCUGU
rnacentral:piRNA from 1 species